rnacentral:rRNA from 1 species
UACGUAGGGGGCAAGCGUUGUCCGGAAUCAUUGGGCGUAAAGAGCGUGUAGGCGGCCCGAUAAGUCCGCUGUGAAAGUCCAGGGCUCAACCCUGGAAUGCCGGUGGAUACUGUCGGGCUCGAAUCCGGAAGAGGUGAGUGGAAUUCCUGGUGUAGCGGUGAAAUGCGCAGAUAUCAGGAGGAACACCGAUGGCGAAGGCAGGUCUCUGGGCCACUACUGACGCUGAGAAGCGAAAGCAUGGGGAGCGAACAGG